CCAGAAAUGCGGCUGAAAAUUCGCAGGCGAAGAGAAUCGCCACUUUCAAGGAAUACUGUAGGAAGAAUCCUGUCCAGUCUAAAUGGGGGUUCUCGUCGCAAAUGUACCUCGAGCGAAUCAUGGUUAUUGACAGGCUCAAAACCAUGUACUGUUUUAUUCCCAAAACUGGAUGUACAACGACCAAAUACCUGAUGUACAAUCUGCAACACGGUACAAAUGCGAGCGCAGUAGAUCCCAAACAGACACGGGUACGGAUCCAUCAAGAACACUAUAGCUUGCUGAAAGACUACAGCAAGGAAGAGGCGGACAUACGACUUGCGACCUACAACAAACUCAUUGUAGUUCGCGACCCCUUGGAAAGGUUAGCGUCUGCCUGGCUUGACAAAUUCAUGCACAACCCUAAACGCUCAUUGUACAUCAAGACGUUCCAGCGAAAAACACGAGAGAAGGAUUUGAGAAAAAUCUACA